rnacentral:rRNA from 1 species
UACAUAGGGAGCAAGCGUUAUCCGGAAUGAUUGGGCGUAAAGCGUCUGUAGGUGGUUCAAAAAGUCUACUGUCAAAUACGUUUGGCUCAACCAACGGCAGGCAUUAGAGUACUAUUGAACUAGAGUGUGGUAGAGGUAGAGGGAAUCCCUAGCGUAACAGUGAAAUGUGUAGAUUUUAGGGAGAACACCAGCGGCGAAGGCGGCUUGCCAGAACGCGCUCGACGGUGAGGGAUGAAAGCUGGGGGAGCAAACCGGG